GUCAAGUCAUCAUGCCCCUUAUGUCUUGGGCUGCAAACAUGCUACAAUGGCCGGUACAGAGGGCUGCGAUACCGCGAGGUGGAGCGAAUCCCUUAAAGCCGGUCUCAGUUCGGAUUGGGGUCUGCAACUCGACCCCAUGAAGUCGGAGUCGCUAGUAAUCGCAGAUCAGCAACGCUGCGGUGAAUACGUUCCCGGGCCUU
rnacentral:rRNA from 1 species